rnacentral:rRNA from 1 species
AAGCCUGAUCCAGCACGCCGCGUGGAGGGAGACGGCUUCUGGUGUAAAGCUCUGU